UACGUAGGGUGCAAGCGUUGUCCGGAAUUAUUGGGCGUAAAGAGCUCGUAGGCGGUUUGUCGCGUCUGCUGUGAAAACUCGGGGCUUAACUCCGAGCCUGCAGUGGGUACGGGCAGACUAGAGUGCGGUAGGGGAGACUGGAAUUCCUGGUGUAGUGGUGAAAUGCGCAGAUAUCAGGAGGAACACCGGUGGCGAAGGCGGGUCUCUGGGCCGUUACUGACGCUGAGGAGCGAAAGCGUGGGGAGCGAACAGG
rnacentral:rRNA from 1 species